UCUCGAUAGCGUAAAAGGUAACCCAAAUUUGUAUGGAGUUGGAACGCUUGCCGACGUUUGCCUCUAAGGGCGCGGUUCCAACUGCACACAAAUUUGAGUUAACUUUUACGCUAUCGA
rnacentral:pre_miRNA from 9 species